UCGAGGGGCAGCGGGGUAGUGCUUGCACUACUGCCGGCGACCGGCGCACGGGUGAGUAACACGUAUGGAACCUGCCCGCAGCAGGGGGAUAAGCGGAAGAAAUUCCGUCUAAUACCGCGUAACAACGUUGGGAGGCAUCUCCCGAUGUUUAAAGAUUUAUCGGCUGCGGAUGGCCAUGCGGCGCAUUAGCUAGUCGGCGGGGUAACGGCCCACCGAGGCGACGAUGCGUAGGGGUUCUGAGAGGAAGGUCCCCCACACUGGUACUGAGACACGGACCAGACUCCUACGGGAGGCAGCAGUGAGGAAUAUUGGUCAAUGGCCGAGAGGCUGAACCAGCCAAGUCGCAUGAGGGAAGACGGCCCUACGGGUUGUAAACCUCUUUUGUCGGGGAGCAAAGCGAACCACGUGUGGUUCAUUGAGAGUACCCGAAGAAAAAGCAUCGGCUAACUCCGUGCCAGCAGCCGCGGUAAUACGGAGGAUGCGAGCGUUAUCCGGAUUUAUUGGGUUUAAAGGGUGCGCAGGCGGAGGUGCAAGUCAGCGGUCAAAUUGCGGGGCUCAACCCCGUACUGCCGUUGAAACUGCAUCCCUUGAGUGCGCGAGAAGUAUGCGGAAUGCGUGGUGUAGCGGUGAAAUGCAUAGAUAUCACGCAGAACUCCGAUUGCGAAGGCAGCAUACCGGCGCGCAACUGACGCUCAUGCACGAAAGCGUGGGUAUCGAACAGGAUUAGAUACCCUGGUAGUCCACGCAGCAAACGAUGAACACUAACUGUUCGGCCAGAAUGAUGGCUGAGUGGUACAGCGAAAGCGUUAAGUGUUCCACCUGGGGAGUACGCCGGCAACGGUGAAACUCAAAGGAAUUGACGGGGGCCCGCACAAGCGGAGGAACAUGUGGUUUAAUUCGAUGAUACGCGAGGAACCUUACCCGGGCUCAAACGACACAGGAAUACUUUUGAAAGGAGGUAGCCCUACGGGGUCUGUGUCGAGGUGCUGCAUGGUUGUCGUCAGCUCGUGCCGUGAGGUGUCGGCUUAAGUGCCAUAACGAGCGCAACCCCUAUCGCCAGUUACCAUCAAGUAAAGUUGGGGACUCUGGCGAGACUGCCGGCGCAAGCUGAGAGGAAGGCGGGGAUGACGUCAAAUCAGCACGGCCCUUACGUCCGGGGCGACACACGUGUUACAAUGGCAGGUACAGAGAGAAGCCAGGUGGCGACACCGCGCGGAACUCGGAAGCCUGUCUCAGUUCGGAUCGGAGUCUGCAACCCGACUCCGUGAAGCUGGAUUCGCUAGUAAU
rnacentral:rRNA from 1 species